UACGAAGGGGGCUAGAGUUGUUCGGAAUUACUGGGCGUAAAGCGCACGUAGGCGGAUCUAUAAGUCAGAGGUGAAAUCCCCGGGCUCAACCCUGGAAUUGCCUUUGAUACUGUAGAUCUGGAGUCUGGGAGAGGUGAUUGGAAUUCCGAGUGUAUAGGUUAAAUUCGUAGAUAUUCGGAGGAACACCAUUGGCGAAGGCGGCUCACUGGCCCGAGACUGCCGCAGAGAUUCGAAAUCGUGGGGAGCAAACAGG
rnacentral:rRNA from 1 species